UUUCAAUGUUUCCCCUCUCCUCCUGUACCUUUCAUUGUCCCACCUCCAUCCUGUACCUUUUCAGAGUCCCCCCCUCACCUCUUGUAUCAUUUAUUGUCCCCCGCCCCUCCUGAACCUUUCAUAGUCCCCCUUCCGCCUCCCAUCCUAUACCUUAUGUAUCUUUUAUUGUGUCUCCCUCCUGUACAUUUUAUUGUGCCCCCAGCCCAAAUGUGCCUUUUUAUUGU